rnacentral:lncRNA from 1 species
AUUAUUAACACAACAAAAGCUUACAGAGGCUCUUUUUUCUUUCUUCUUUUUUUCUUGUUCACAGGAAAAAAUGGUCUUGUCUACUUUGACCAGAACUGAUAAUCUGAAGAGGUUACAAUAAACCAAGAGAAUAUGAGGUGUAAUAGACAAAACUGAUGUUGGAGGGUGGAUACCCAACUUUUAAAAUGGGAGUGGAGAAGAUGAAUACUUUAGGAGGCAGCUUUCUAUCUGGGCCUGAAGUUUGUGCUAUUUCUACCUUCCCCAGAACUGUGCUGUUGAGUCCAAUAGUAGUUCUGCAAUCCUUUGGUGAAAAAUGGAAAUAAGGGGGCAGCUAGGUGGCGCAGUGGAUAGAGCACCGGCCCUGAAGUCAGGAGGACCUGAAUUCAAAUCCAGCCUGAGACCAACUACUUAACACUUACUAGCUGUGUGACCCUGGGUAAGUCACUUAACCCCAAUUGCCUUAAAAAAAAAAGAUAAUUUUAUUAUGAUCUAGUAUUGGUGUUCACAGUAAGACUGAACAAGCUAAAAGUUGUUUUAAAUAAGAGGCUACCAAAAUCUAUGUAAAGGGUGUACUCAGAAGUAACCUCAUCUACCUCUCAAAGUAAAGUGAUAAAGU